rnacentral:snRNA from 1 species
GGGUUGAUUUGGACCCCAUUGAUCGCCAGGGUUGAUUUGGCUGACCUGGCUGGCUAGGUGGGUGUCCCCUUCCUCACUCACUGCCCCAUGUGCAUCCCUCUUGAAGCUGCCUGCUAGGUUGAAGAGGACAACCAUCCCGGAUAGAGGAGGACAGGUCUUUGGUUAAGGGUAUAUGAGUAACUGCAUUCCCCUGCUAGAACCUGCAAACAGGCUCUCAAGAAUUGUAGUAUUUUGCUUGAAGUCAUAUAGCUAGUAAGUUGGUAAAUGAAUUUGAAUGAGAUCUAAUU